AUUGAACGCUGGCGGCAGGCCUAACACAUGCAAGUCGAACGGUAACAGGAAACAGCUUGCUGUUUCGCUGACGAGUGGCGGACGGGUGAGUAAUGUCUGGGAAACUGCCUGAUGGAGGGGGAUAACUACUGGAAACGGUAGCUAAUACCGCAUAACGUCGCAAGACCAAAGAGGGGGACCCUCGGGCCUCUUGCCAUCGGAUGUGCCCAGAUGGGAUUCGCUUGUUGGUGGGGUAACGGCUCACCAAGGCGACGAUCCCUAGCUGGUCUGAGGGGAGGCCGAGCCACACAGGAGCUGAGACACGGACCAGACACCGACGGGAGGCAGCAGUGGGGAAUAUUGCACAAUGGGCGCAACCUGAUGCAGCCAUGCCGCGUGUAUGAAGAAGGCCUUCGGGUUGUAAAGUACUUUCAGCGGGGAGGAAGGGAGUAAAGUUAAUACCUUUGCUCAUUGACGUUACCCGCAGAAGAAGCACCGGCUAACUCCGUG
rnacentral:rRNA from 1 species